AACGAACGCUGGCGGCAUGCCUAACACAUGCCAGUCGAACGAGACCUUCGGGUCUAGUGGCGCACGGGUGCGUAACGCGUGGGAACCUGCCCUUAGGUUCGGAAUAACUCCCCGAAAGGGGUGCUAAUACCGGAUAAUGUCUUCGGACCAAAGAUUUAUCGCCUUUGGAUGGGCCCGCGUUGGAUUAGCUAGUUGGUAGGGUAAAAGCCUACCAAGGCGACGAUCCAUAGCUGGUCUGAGAGGAUGAUCAGCCACACUGGGACUGAGACACGGCCCAGACUCCUACGGGAGGCGGCAGUGGGGAAUAGUGGACAAUGGGCGAAAGGCUGAUCCAGCAAUGCCGGGUGAGUGAUGAAGGCCUUAGGGUUGUAAAGCUCUUUUACCCGGGAUGAUAAUGACAGUACCGGGAGAAUAAGCUCCGGCUAACUCCGUG
rnacentral:rRNA from 1 species